UGAUAAAAGCUUUUAGACAUCGUUACGUUCCAUUGCCUUCAACAUACCCUAAACUUUUGAAAUUUUUCUAUCGAUUCAAACUGCAAUUUACCGAUAGAUCGUGAAUUUAUUAAAAUUCGGCAUGUUCGCCAGACUGAUUCCUACGCGCGCAAAGGCGUGCUGUGUCGCGAAACCCCGGAAAUACCGCGCCCGCGAUAUGUCUUACCGUAUGAUCAUGAUUUUUGAAUGAUAAAAAUGAUACUACCAAGUUAUCUCAAUACUUAUUUACAAAUUUAACUACGAAGUAUCACGUACCUAAUGAUAUUGUGAUUACAUGCGGUAGUAUAUACGAUUCCUCGACGUUAUAUAGUAAGUACGACUUCGGGACAAACGCAUUGUUGAUACUGUAGAGACCUACGCGAUCAGACCCCGUCGGUUAAUUGUCCCACGGUUUUCAAAAUCCUUUCCAGUUUCCAUUAAGUUCAUGGUAACCGCACCCAGUGGGCCCUUCGUUACAGUCUAUUACUGGUCAUUGUUCGUAAAUCGGAAGUCGAGGCCGAUGUGCAAGUAUAUAUCGAUAUUGCGUAACCAGCACGUCGCUGUAUUUGACAUGUAAAGUAGGAUGACACGUACAUACAGUGUCUUUACUAUAUUCUGUUUUAGAGGAUGUAAUGUACAAAUGUACGCGUGUACAUAAGCAAAUAUGUAUGUGUCAACAAGAUAAAUAAGCUAUUUGUAAUAUCUACUGUCAAGUGCGGAUAAGACGUAUAACUUAAAAUAGAGAAAAUAUUGUGAAAACGUUUAAAAAUUAUUGCAAUCUUGUUACGUGCUUUAAAUAACAACUCAUGCAGAUUUUCAAAGAUAAAAGGGAAAAAAAAUAUAAUAUCAUAACUAAACAAUCGGAUGAUCGUGAACCGUGAUGACUAAGAUUUGCGACCUCGCGGGUCGAUCAUGAGUUUACCAUAAAUGGUCAUACGCUCGAUUAUUAUUGACUUUCUCCGUGACGUUUAAACGCCGCGACGCAACGUCUCUCUCGGAAAUGAGACAUCGCUUCGUUAAACGUUGAGUUAGGUCAAGUAGUUCAAAGUACACUAUUGGAUCUUAGCCAAGAUCAGCAAUUGGCAGAUGGGCUCCAUUCAAAAAGUUUCGAAUGUACAAAAAAUCGCUGAAAACAAGUGAAUAAGAACAAUGGUGAGGAACGUUCAAAAUUUCCAAAACGACCAGUGAUUCCUGACUAGAAUUCUAAUAUAACCUAGAAACAUCAUGUCACAUCAAUACGUUCAAUUAAUAUUUUACUUCGAGUAUUUACUUAACGUUAACAUAACCUCCAAAUAUAAAUUGUCGAUAAUGCAAUUUCUCAAGGCUCAGACAAUAACGUUAUAUCCAUUUUUAUUUGUCCGAACCAGUUCAAAAAUCAAGUAGGCUUGUGAGUUCGUUGAAAGUUCAAGUUUGUAUAAUGCGUCAGAAAAAAGGAAAACGCAAGACGUGACGUAACGCAAUGGAGUGCGAGUGACUUCAGGAAGAAAUAAAAUGCAAACUAAAUAACGAUUUAA